rnacentral:rRNA from 1 species
UUGAACGCUGGCGGAAUGCUUUACACCUGCAAGUCGAGCGGCAGCACGGGGGCAACCCUGGUGGCGAGCGGCGAACGGGUGAGUAACACAUCGGAACAUGCCCAGUCGUGGGGGAUAACACUUCGAAAGAAGUGCUAAUACCGCAUACGUCCUGAGGGAGAAAGCGGGGGAUCGCAAGACCCCGCGCGAUUGGAGUGGCCGAUGUCAGAUUAGCUAGUUGGUGGGGUAAAGGCCUACCAAGGCAACGAUCUGUAGCUGGUCUGAGAGGAUGAUCAGCCACACUGGGACUGAGACACGGCCCAGACUCCUACGGGAGGCAGCAGUGGGGAAUUUUGGACAAUGGGGGCAACCCUGAUCCAGCCAUUCCGCGUGAGUGAAGAAGGCCUUCGGGUUGUAAAGCUCUUUCGGCAGGAACGAAACGGUGAGCUCUAACAUAGCUUGCUAAUGACGGUACCUGAAGAAGAAGCACCGGCUAACUACGUG